rnacentral:rRNA from 1 species
UACGGAGGGUGCGAGCGUUGUCCGGAAUCACUGGGCGUAAAGGGCGCGUAGGCGGCCCGCGCAAGGGUGCGGUGAAAGCCCGGGGCUCAACCCCGGGUCGGCCGUGCCGACUGCGGGGCUGGAGCACUGUAGGGGCGGGUGGAAUUCCGGGUGUAGCGGUGGAAUGCGUAGAGAUCCGGAAGAACACCGGUGGCGAAGGCGGCCCGCUGGGCAGUAGCUGACGCUGAGGCGCGACAGCGUGGGGAGCAAACAGGAUUAGAAACCCCCGUAGUCC